rnacentral:tRNA from 1 species
UCAGAAAAAAAGGAAUCAAACCUUUAUCACCAACUCCCAAAGCUGGUAUUUUAAAUUAAACUAUUUUCCU